GGGGAGGCCGGAGAACGCGCCGGGGGUGCCAGGGUCCCGCACACUGGAGUGGCGGCGCCUCCCCGUGGUGUCCCCGCUCCUGGGUCCUUUUUGGGACUGGCUCUGGCACUCCCGGGCACUCAGUCCAGUAGAGAAGUCCAGCAGGAGGCUUCCAGGUCGGACUCCUCCGCGGGGUAAAGAGAGGGAAAGGGCCUCACAAACACACCCAGGAGCAUCUGGCGAUGGAGGAUGAGAAGACAAGAGAAUGACGGGGGCAGGGUCAGGGGUCUAAUCUCCUUGCGAGCCACCUGAUCUCCCCGGGCCUCUGUUUUCUCAUCUGUGAAAUGACGGGUUGGACGGCCUUGUCUCUGAGGCCUCAUCCAGUUCCACGUACAGGAAGAUAUAAAUGCAAAUGUGCAAAAAAAGGAAGAAGGAAAGAUGGACCAAGUUCACCUGUUUGCUGAGUUUUAGUUCUCGAAGGCAAUGGAACUGUUGCUAUCCACUUCUGCCUCUUAGUACCUUAAACCUCAGAGAUGCUCACUGGAACACUUUUUACAUGGAUUUGUCUUUGGUUUCAUCAGGUGAGUGUGCUACAAAAAUCUAGAACCUAAGAGCCAAUGCAGCGUCGGUUCUGUGACUAUCCUUGUUAAGUGUUACGGUUUUCUAAUCCUUCACAAAUGUUUUUUUCCCAACACAAAGCACCAUUAUCUUUCCUCACAAUUUUCAACAUAGUUUGAUUCCCAUGAAGAGGUUAUGAUUUCUAAAGAAAACAUGGCUACUAUACUAUCAAUCAGGGUUAAAUCUUUUUUUUUUGAGACGGAGUUUCGCUCUUGUUGCCGAGGCUGGAGUGCGAUGGCGUGAUCUCGGCUCACCGCAACCUCCGUCUCCCGGUUCAGGAAAUUCUCCUGCCUCAGCCUCCCAAGUAGCUGGGAUUACAGGCAUGUGCCACCAUGCCAGGCUAAUUUUGUAUUUUUUAAGUAGAGACAGGAUUUCACCAUGUUGGUCAGGCUGGUCUUGAACUCCUGACCUCAGGUGGAUCCACCCACCUUGGCCUCCCAAAGUGCUGGGAUUAUGGUGUGAGCCACCACACCUGGUCCUAUCAGGGUUAAAUCCAAGUAAUAACUCAAUUUCAAAAAAAUUGCAGAAAAGCCUAUUAAAAGAAAAAAAAAACCAUGAGACUUAUCUCUUGUAAAUUUGUUACAUGAACUAGAUAUUAAACAGCCAAAAAAGGACAGCGAUGAUAGUAUCUGUUAAGAUCCUGGUUCAUUUCACAAUAUGAAAAAGUUGAUGGGUACUUAGUAGCUUUUUUAAAAAAAUUCAUUUUAUUAUAUUAUACUAGAAAAAUGAAAAUAUUAAUACUUUCCAUUCAGAAAAGCUUAAAUGACUCGUCUCUAAUUUUGGUUUAAAGUUUUCUUCAAUUUAUUCAAGGCUCUCAAAAAAAAAAUAGAAAAGCACUGUAAUUUGCACUGCUUGACUGUAAAAUGUUUUAUGUGUUAGGAAUAGAAUAUUCUUUAAUGGGCAGGCAGAGAAUGAAAGCCAAGCCAAAUAACAAAAUCUCAUGGGUUUUGAUCACUUAGAAAAUUACAGUGAAUCAAUAUUACCUAAAAGGAAAUUCAAAAAAUUCCCAAUUGUUGAUAAUACAUGUCUCCUGGCAUACAGGGUCCAUCUUGCAGUAAAAAAUGGGCACAAUGCUGAGUUCAGAACUGCAGAGUAAAUUUAUUGGGUGGUUGUCGGUUAAAAUGACAAAUGAUGAUCUGAAUUCAAUACAUUAAAUUGCUGAUAGAAUUGCAAAUUUCAACUGAAUUUACAUUGAGGCCUAGCAGUGGUAGUUGGCUACAACUGGAACAGUUUAUCACCUCAGGGUAUUUGAGGGCAAGGAAGAUACAGAAAAAAAAAAAAUUAGGGGUAUGCAACACAGUUUAAGUGCUCAGAAAUAAAUUUUACCACAGUGAGAACGAAACCACAAUGACAUGUUACUAACACUGUGCAGACGUCAUGGUUGAAUGCCUGCGUUCUGUUCCUUCCUGGUGGCAGCCGCCUUGGUUCAUUAGUUCUCAUGUUUGCAGCUCCUUCACAUGCCCCGGAGCUUCCCAAGUGUGCCACUCAAAGGAAACAGCACAGUGAGUGGAGGCCAGCAGACCCACCCGGCCCAAAACAGAGCCUUCUCAGUUAUGAGACUUUUCUACAGAAGGGACUUCAAAGUCUAAACAGACCAGAGAGAGUUAAAAAGAUCCUGCUGCUUCUUAGGGAAGUUCAAAGGUACAUUCUGACACCUAAGUGGGAAACAAUUCUGUUUUAGGAAAAGUGCCAACUGCAAUCCGGGUACAAAAUUUCAACAAAAAGAAAAGUAAAACUGAAUGAUCUCCCCCUCAUUCCCUAAUUCAUAGAAAAAUAGUAGGUGUGACUUUUGUUUCAAAGCAAGCUGAAAAAUGGUUAAAUGGACAAUUUACAAAUGGUCUUCAGAAAACCUUAUCAUUACCUUUUCUAGUUGAAAGUCCAUGAAUGACAUACAUAAACGUACACAUCAUAGCCAAAAAACUCAAGAACUAGUGGUUAACAAGAUACUGGAAAAGGUGAAGGAUAAAAACUGGUGAAUGAAGGUAGCUGGGUGGUCUACAGGCUAGAACACGGUCACGAACGGCAGAAUGCAGUAGCCACCUGCGAUCCUAAUCAUUCAAGCUUACUGGUGAUACGUCCCACUUCUAAAGUGGCCGUCCUUCCUGGGCAGCCAUGUCUGGAGGGCGCCACAUCAGGAAUGAGGGCCUGUGCAUUGCUUUGUCCCAAAUUCCAGAUAAGAGCAACAUGUGGGUGGAUCUGUGUCGUAAGACUCAUCCUCAAAGUGGAUUUGGCAUUUCUUCCCCAAAGCUAAUUGAACAAAUACUUGAGAACCAUGAUUUCUAUGAAUUAUUCUGUAUUUCUGGUUUCUUUUCCUGCAAAAAAUUUCAUGUAUACUGAGUAACAACCUUUGAUCGAUUUAUUAAUUAGAAGCUAUUUAUACCAGUAGAAAAAUACCCACAAACAAUUAAAAUUAUAAGACUAUUUUUAAAUUCAUAAAAAUGGUACUGUACUGGGUGUGACUACAUUUCCAGUUUUUGGUGUCUCAUGUGAUACAGAAUCAGGAGGACUUACAUGGCUGGAGGGGAGGGGAGCUGUUUUCCUAAUUUGUUACUAUUUAAAAAUGGUUAAGGGUGGCCACAUCUUGGGGGCUUCUCCUUUAAUGUAAAGUCCCUUUUGGAAUAUCACUUAAAAUCUGGGACAGGUCAAAUCAGCUGCUACUCUACACGACCGUGUCUGCAGUACAGGCGUGGUGAGAAGACCUAUACCUCACUCGGCAGAGUCUCACCUAUGCUGUUCGCAGCAACGCAUCGGCCGCAGGCACAGAGCGCCAUGGCCAGAGCCCACCAGGGCAGCCGCCUCGCACCACAACCAAGGGCCUCACAGCGCGCAAUCAAAGGUCUGGGGCUCAUUCAACGCUGCGGUCGGAGGGUCGGGGCGCCUCGUCUGGGCAAUUUUCUGUUUGGGGUUUUUUGUCUCUUCUUCCUCUUCAGUUUCACUUUCACAGACAUGAACCACCACGCUGGGUGUCGACUCUGUUCCCGCGUGAAGUUCAUAUUUCUCUCCUGCAGAGGCAAACAAAAUAACCAUGACAAAAGCAUCACUUCCAGCAAAAAGAACUCUUUUGUCCCUUGCAACUUUUUGUUCUACUCCUAUUUU
rnacentral:lncRNA from 1 species